CAGUAGCCACGGGAAUACGUAGGUGGCAAGCGUUGUCCGGAAUUAUUGGGCGUAAAGGGCUCGCAGGCGGUUUCUUAAGUCUGAUGUGAAAGCCCCCGGCUCAACCGGGGAGGGUCAUUGGAAACUGGGAAACUUGAGUGCAGAAGAGGAGAGUGGAAUUCCACGUGUAGCGAUGAAAUGCGUAGAGAUGUGGAGGAACACCAGUGGCGAAGGCGACUCUCUGGUCUGUAACUGACGCUGAGGAGCGAAAGCGUGGGGAGCGAAUAGGAUUAGAUACCCCUGUAGUCCCUGUCUCUUAUAA
rnacentral:rRNA from 1 species